CUUUUUUUCUGGAUCCCUUGGUGCAGACAGGUGUUGCGGUUGGAAAAGAAAUUGACGACGAUCUCGAUAUCAAUGUGUCCGAUGCGUGUUUUGCCCCAGAUUAUCAACUUCAUAUAGAGAACCCCAUGAAGAAUUUAAACACAGACGUCGAUAUUGCAAAAAUAAACAACUUUCGCAAGUGAUACACACACCCAGUGUACAGUUUCAAGGGACUCCACCAAUCAGUAGAGUUACAGAAGAAGCGGAAGAGGACAUGGAGACGAAAUAAAAAUCAACUUAUAUUGACUGGUAGUGCAAGUUAUGAAUCAGACUCUGACGAGGACAAGAUUUUUCUCGGUUAAGGCCAAUGGUGUAGUGUGACACUAAGACGAUUCUUCACUUCAAUUUCACCUCAUUGUGAAUAGUUUUACCAACAGGUACAUAUAGAGCAAUAGGUGUAUAAACAUAGCAGUACAUAAAUCAACAUUAGUCAUAAAUCAACGGGUUUCUGUGAUAUUUCGUUGCUUUAGAUACAAGUAACUUAAGAAAAUUAGGGCUAAAGGACUUA